rnacentral:rRNA from 1 species
GAUGAACGCUGGCGGCGUGCCUAAUACAUGCAAGUCGAGCGAACAGACGAGGAGCUUGCUCCUCUGACGUUAGCGGCGGACGGGUGAGUAACACGUGGAUAACCUACCUAUAAGACUGGGAUAACUUCGGGAAACCGGAGCUAAUACCGGAUAAUAUAUUGAACCGCAUGGUUCAAUAGUGAAAGACGGUUUUGCUGUCACUUAUAGAUGGAUCCGCGCCGCAUUAGCUAGUUGGUAAGGUAACGGCUUACCAAGGCAACGAUGCGUAGCCGACCUGAGAGGGUGAUCGGCCACACUGGAACUGAGACACGGUCCAGACUCCUACGGUAGGCAGCAGUAGGGAAUCGUCCGCAAUGGGCGAAAGCCUGACGGAGCAACGCCGCGUGAGUGAUGAAGGUCUUCGGAUCGUAAAACUCUGUUAUUAGGGAAGAACAAAUGUGUAAGUAACUAUGCACGUCGUGACGGUACCUAAUCAGAAAGCCACGGCUAACUACGUG